GACGAACGCUGGCGGCGUGCUUAACACAUGCAAGUCGAACGGUGAAGCGCCUUCCUUUUUGGUGGGUGUGGAUGAGUGGCGAACGAGUGAGUAACACGUGAGUAACCUGCCCCCUUCUUCUGGAUAACCGCAUGAAAGUGUGGCUAAUACGGGAUAUUCUGGGUCUGUCGCAUGAUGGGUCUGGGAAAGAUAUUGUUUCGGUGGGGGAUGGGCUCGCGGCCUAUCAGCUUGUUGGUGGGGUGAUGGCCUACCAAGGCGGUGACGGGUAGCCGGCCUGAGAGGGUGGACGGUCACACUGGGACUGAGACACGGCCCAGACUCCUACGGGAGGCAGCAGUGGGGAAUAUUGCACAAUGGGCACAAGCCUGAUGCAGCGACGCCGCGUGAGGGAUGGAGGCCUUCGGGUUGUGAACCUCUUUCGCCAGUGAAGCAGGCCUGCCUCGUUUGUGGGUGGGUUGACGGUAGCUGGAUAAGAAGCGCCGGCUAACUACGUG
rnacentral:rRNA from 1 species